GGAGGAACACCGGUGGCGAAGGCGGGUCUCUGGGCAACAACUGACGCUGAGGAGCGAAAGCGUGGGGAGCGAACAGGAUUAGAUACCCUGGUAGUCCACGCCGUAAACGUUGGGCGCUAGGUGUGGGGCUCAUUCCACGAGUUCCGUGCCGCAGCUAACGCAUUAAGCGCCCCGCCUGGGAGUACGGCCGCAAGGCUAAAACUCAAAGGAAUUGACGGGGGCCCGCACAAGCGGCGGAGCAUGUUGCUUAAUUCGAUGCAACGCGAAGAACCUUACCUAGGCUUGACAUGCACGGAAAUCCUCCAGAGAUGCUGGGUCCGUAAGGGUCGUGCACAGGUGGUGCAUGGUUGGGUCCGUAAGGGUCGUGCACAGGUGGUGCAUGGUUGUCGUCAGCUCGUGUCGUGAGAUGUUGGGUUAAGUCCCGCAACGAGCGCAACCCUCGUUCUAUGUUGCCAGCACGUCAUGGUGGGGACUCAUAGGAGACUGC
rnacentral:rRNA from 1 species